rnacentral:rRNA from 1 species
UACGUAGGGGGCAAGCAUUGUCCGGAUUUACUGGGCGUAAAGAGCGCGUAGGCGGACGUUUAAGUGUGGCCUGAAAGCCCCCGGCUCAACCGGGGAUCCGGGUUGCAAACUGGACGUCUUGAGGGGGAUAGGGGAAGGUGGAAUUCCUGGUGUAGCGGUGAAAUGCGCAGAUAUCAGGAAGAACACCCGUGGCGAAGGCGGCUCUCUGGGACGGUACUGACGCUGAGACGCGAAAGCGUGGGGAGCGAACAGG